rfam:Pan troglodytes isolate Yerkes chimp pedigree #C0471 (Clint) chromosome 10, whole genome shotgun sequence.
GCUGGGCAUGGUGGCUCAUGCCUGUAAUCCCAGCACUUUGGGAGGCUGAGGCAGGAGGAUCCCUUGAGCCCAGGAGUUCAAGACCAGCCUGGGUGACAUAGGGAGACCUUGUCUCUA